CCCGCAAGGGGAGAGGAAAGUCCGAGCAACACAGAGCGCCGUACGAGUUAACGGCUCGAUGUCCGUGAGGGUGUAGUAGCGUAACAGAAAAUAACCGCCAGGGGCGAGUUCAAGGGGGAGGGGAGUGAUGAAUUUCUUUUUCUUUUCGGCUUGUUUCGGGUAAGGGUGAAAAGGCGGGGUAAGAGCCCACCGCAGCGGCAGCAAUGUCGUCUGGCAGUACGUCUUACGGGUUGCAAGACCGUGUAUACCGACAAUUAAGGGUUGCUCGUCCAAUGUCGGGGGGUAGGUUGCUAGAGGCUGUGGGCGACCACAGUCGUAGAUAAAUGAUAGAGGCCUCGCAAGAGGUACAGAACUCGGCUUAUAG
rnacentral:RNase_P_RNA from 1 species